CGGGGGGCAGCAGCAGUGGGGAAUAUUGGACAAUGGGGGCAACCCUGAUCCAGCCAUGCCGCGUGAGUGAAGAAGGCCUUCGGGUUGUAAAGCUCUUUCGACGGGGACGAUGAUGACGGUACCCGUAUAAGAAGCCCCGGCUAACUUCGUGCCAGCAGCCGCGGUAAUACGAAGGGGGCUAGCGUUGUUCGGAAUUACUGGGCGUAAAGCGCGCGUAGGCGGUGAUCCAUGUCAGAGGUGAAAUCCCGGAGCUCAACUCCGGAACUGCCUUUGAAACGGGAUCGCUAGAAUCCGAGAGAGGAUGGCGGAAUUCCUAGUGUAGAGGUGAAAUUCGUAGAUAUUAGGAAGAACACCGGUGGCGAAGGCGGCCAUCUGGCUCGGUAUUGACGCUCAGGCGCGAAAGCGUGGGGAUCAAACAGGAUUAGAUACCCCCGUAGUC
rnacentral:rRNA from 1 species